rnacentral:lncRNA from 1 species
AGAUAUAUAUAAAAAAUAAUGAAAAUAAUAAUGAUGACAAAACUAAUAAAUAAUAUAACAGUAAGAAUGCAAUAAUAAUAUUAACAAUAUUAAAAAAAAACUAAAAUGUCAAAUGAAGGAUUAAAUCGAAAAUAAAAGAAUUUUGAGGGCCGAAUUUAAAAAAAAAUACGCGAAUGGACUCAAUUAAAGUGCGCACAACAGCAGGAGGACCCAAGUGGAAAUUAAUC